rnacentral:sRNA from 1 species
AUAUCAGGGUUCAAAAGUCCUGACCUGCAUGCGUGCAUGUACGGACAGGACCUUGGAACCCGUAACAAAAUGAGAAAGAAGCCCGAGAGGGCAGAUUUUGAAUUUUGUUAGAAUCGUGGGAGCGCAGAGCGCGGAACGAUUCGCAGAUAU